AUUUUAUGCCAGAAAUAUCGUAAAUUCCAAAAUCUAACUGAACAACUUUAUUUUUAUUAUGACUUAAUGUUUUUAAAAUUUGGUUAAUUUGAUUGUAGGGCAGCAUAUAUCUGGAUUCUUUCGCGCAGUUUGUAGCCACAGAAUGGAUAUCAAUGUAUUCUAUGCUACUGUUUUUUACUUCAGGAAUGAAUAUUUUAUCAGACAGCUGUAUCUUAUCAUACUCCCCUACACAUAUUAAAUUCGAAAUACAAUUCAAUUUUAUGUCAUCAAUCACACACACUUCCUUAUUUUCAUUCAAUUUCAUAUCAUCAAUCACACACACUUCCUUAUUUUCAUUCAAUUUUAUAUCAUCAAUCACACACACUCGAUUCACACACUUGCUCAUUUCCACAUUGCUCUUCACACAUGGUUCUUUCACACACCCUUUGCCCUUUACCACAUUGCUCUCCUGAUUCACACAUUGUCCAUUCACACACCCUUUGUUCAUACAUGUACAGUCAUUCUUUUCCUUAUUCACUAUUUCUUUAUCGUUUUCUCCCAUAAUUACCUGUCCUCCUCCAGUAAACCUGACAAAAGAAUAAAAAAAAAAUUCAAUGAUUAUUUUAUUACAGUAAUUAUAAAUAGGUAAUGCUGUCUUUGUAUUUCUGUGAGAAAAUUAAUAGUUUUGAAAUAAAGCUUUUCUAUGAGUAAUUAAAAGUUAUGUAGACUUAAGGGUCUUUUUAUUUUUUAUAUAGGACAUAAACAAUUAGUUGGGUAAGAAAAUGAAUAGUCCACUUAUGGUUUUGAAAUAAUGGUUUUGUGGACCCAUUUCUAUGGGUACUAUGUCGACUAUGGGUACUUUUAAAAUCUGUAUAUUGUACAUAAACUAAAGAAGUUGAGUUAAAAUAAGGCACAUCUAAUAGUAUUUGUUGCACACCUUGCAACAUAAUGUUAAAAAUAAAAUAAAGUACAUUUAAUGUUAUUUGUUGCACACCUGGCAACAUAAUGUUAAAACUAAACUAAAGUAUAUUCUAAUGCUAUUUGUUGCACACCUGGCAACAGAGUUUAAAUAAAGCAUACUACUAUAAAACAAAAAAUUAAUGCGACUUGAAGGAGAUGGACAUAAAUAUUUAAUGUGACCUGUAUUCUAAUAAAACAAUAAAUUACGUAUCAGUUAAUUACACAGUUAAUGCCAGCAACUAUGACUUUUACUUUUGAUCACUUUGCUGAUUCACUGUUUCAACAGCAUACUUUAUUUUGUUGGAUCCCAGAAUAGGAAUGUGUAUUGAGAUUAAUAGAUUGGUGGAAGGUCACAUUUUAUGCAUUAAUUUUUGGCUCGCAUUAAUUUCUUGCUUUACACUAAAAUAACUGUGCGCAGUGCUAGAAAAGCCAAAAGUAGGAAGUGUUUGUGGUGUUGAUUUAACAAACUUUUUUGCAGUGAAGUUUGUUUGCAUUCUCAUGCAUAUGAGUACCAUUACCUAAUCUUGAUCACAUUGGUCAUGAAAAAGAAAAUAAUAAACCACAAAGUAUCGUGCAAUACAGGAUAUUAGAUGUUUCUCACCCAAAAAUCAUGUGAGAUAUUAAAUUUUUAUACUUAUUGAAAUAAAGUUAUACUGUUGAAAUAAACACUGGGUAAAACAUCUUCUUUUUAAUAUGCUGUGAUUUACAUAGCAGUUGUUACUGAAAAUUUAUAUACUUUCAAUCAUAAAUACCGAAAAAAACGAUAUAAAACAUCUGUAAAAGUAAUAAGUAACAUAAGCGUUCUAACCUAAUGGUAUCCUCAAUUAGUUCACUGGAGAAUAUAAAUUUUCUUCUUGUCUUACGUUGUUUUCUGUCCACAGAAUAUAUAGUUCCUACACUUAAGACAAAAAAAAAAACAUGCAUAAAUCAAGAAUCCAGAUAUACCAAUGUUCUCUUGAAAGAUUUCUAUUCUGAGGUAAAAGAUAAAAUGACAAAAUUUGAAUAGUUAUACAAAUAUUUGGCUACCAACCUAUUAGAUGUAUUGUCUGAUGUAAUUAUCACCUCAUCAUCAGGAAUAAAUGUACCUUUAAAGGUACCAGAUACAUUAUGCCUGAAAAAUUUACAGCCAUUUUAAAGUUAAAUCAUUCAAAAUUCUUCAUUAUUGUCAUGACAAAUUAAAUUUUUAUCAUUUUGAUUUACGUUUUACUAUACAUUGUACUUAUCGUGGGAAUCCGAUAUUCAAAUAUAUUUGUUUUCCUUAUAAACUGAUAUGUAUUAAACUUAUGUUAAAAGAUAACUUACCAAUUAAAAUCUCCACUUCUCCCACUGGAACUCUGUAUGUGGCCUACACCAACAUCAUUAUCUGUUGUGUUAUGAAAAAAAGAGCAUUAUUGUUCUGUAAUGUUUUUAUCAUCUUAAGACUCACAUUAUUACUGUUUUAGUUUGAUUUUGUGGGAUUUGAAUUGAAAUAUAACUAAAUUCACCCCAAAGUUCAUAAGAUUAAAUAAACUACUCACCACCACGAAACUUUUUCAAAUUUCCUUGUAGAUGUAGAUCUUUUGGAGGACAAGGACUUGCAAUGGGUUCAGCUAUAAAUGAAAAAACAACAUAUGAUCACCUUCCAAGUAUUGCUAAUCUGUUUCAUGACCUUUAUUACACAUACUGUUAUAUCAAUAAAAUACACAGAACAUUACAAUGACAUGAUAGUUUUAUUAUUUAUAAUUCAAUAAUUUACCAUAAUACAAAUUAUUGAAUUAUGAUAUAACUGAACUUACUUUCAAAUAGUCCAUCCUUGACCGGUUGGUGAUUUUUGAUAAUUCCAGACCUGAAGCAUCAAUAUGUUGCAUUAUUAUAUUUUGUUUUUGCUUGUAGAGACUGCAUCAAGUUGCAAAAAUUGUUUUUAUUUUUAUUUAGAGAUCUGUGUUGUCUUUUUACUUUAUCUAUUUUUAUAACUAUACAUGUAAUACUUUUUGGAUGUUUUAGCUUUUAGGAUGGAUAUGCUCAUGUGUGGGUUUAAUAAAUCAUAAUGUCUUACACAACAGCCACUGGACACUCUCUAUGUACAACAUUUCUUACAAGUGGAUCAUCAUAUUCUGUGUCUGAAAUAUAAUAAUUUCUGGAGAUUUUGUAAAACAUAACUUUAGAGAAGGUUCAAAAUAAUGGAAAUGAUUUCAAAAAGGUCUUCAAUUACCAGGGAUGGACAAAAAUAUUAUCAGUUCAUAAAUCUGCAUAUCCGGUCACAGAUAGACAAGAAUAUGUUAACCGGUUGACAUAAAUAAUAAAAGUAACUUGGUACUAGGCACAAAGAAUUUCUACCAUAUUUGGAUGGCUUAUCAUUUGGCCUUGCAAACUGUUUUUUCUUGAAAAUGGAAUUUACAGUUUCAUAAAUCUCAAUUAAAUUUGCCCAGAAAAAAUAUAUCAAAACUGUCAUAAAAUGUGCAGCAUUGUUUUCAGUUUGACUUCGAAAUAAAACAAGUCCAGACAAAAUUUCUCUCAUAGCACACUGCAUCUGCAUGGUCAUGCUGGACCUGACGUUAAACCCCAGUUCUUUUAAAAAUUCUCCAAGUAUAAUAUAAAUAUAAUCUGUACAAUGCAUCAUCAACUACUUACAUGCACAGCACCAGAAUCCACGGUCGUUUGGUAGAAACCGGCCUGAAAGCCCUGUUUAGACUUAAAACCUGUAAUUGUCAUUAUGAACAAAUUGAGUACAAGUUACAACAUAGAUUUACUGAAAGAACCUAAUUAUAAUCAGAAAUUAAAACGACUUAUUUGCGAUCCUAUCGAAAUAGACCAUCUACAGAUUUUGAUAUUACAGAUUUUGAUAAUACAGAUUUUGAUAUAAUUGGAAAUUGUAAGUUGUGUAAUAAUUUGAAUAAACGUCUGCAAGAAUCUA